UACAGAGGGUGCAAGCGUUAAUCGGAAUUACUGGGCGUAAAGCGCGCGUAGGUGGUUUGUUAAGUUGAAUGUGAAAUCCCCGGGCUCAACCUGGGAACUGCAUGCAAAACUGGCAAGCUAGAGUAUGGUAGAGGGUGGUGGAAUUUCCUGUGUAGCGGUGAAAUGCGUAGAUAAUAGGAAGGAACACCAGUGGCGAAGGCGACCACCUGGACUGAUACUGACACUGAGGUGCGAAAGCGUGGGGAGCAAACAGG
rnacentral:rRNA from 1 species